rnacentral:tRNA from 1 species
UGCGGGAUCGUCUAAUGGCAGGACGCCUGGUUCUGGCCCAGGUAGUCGGGGUUCGAAUCCCUGUCCCGCAGCAA